AUACGUAGGGAGCGAGCGUUGUCCGGAAUUACUGGGCGUAAAGGGCGCGUAGGCGGCGCUUCAAGUCGUCUGUCAAAUGUGAGGGCUUAACCCUUUUUCGCAGACGAAACUGGAGAGCUUGAGAAGCAGAGAGGCAAACAGAAUUCCUGGUGUAGCGGUGAAAUGCGUAGAUAUCAGGAAGAAUAACAGUGGCGAAGGAGGUUUGCUGGCUGCAUACUGACGCUGAAGCGCGAAAGCCAGGGGAGCAAACGGGAUUAGAUACCCCGGUAGUCCUGGCAGUAAACGAUGUAUGCUGGGUGUGAGACUAGCGAUAGUUUCGUGCCGAAGUUAACGCGAUAAGCAUACCGCCUGGGGAGUACGGUCGCAAGAUUGAAACGCAAAUGAAUUGACGGGG
rnacentral:rRNA from 1 species